rnacentral:misc_RNA from 1 species
AACACUGUUAACCUGCGGUACCUGCGGAAGGAUCAUUACAGAGUGUUUAACCCCCUAUAAAAUGGUGGGCCUAACCUCCCGUCCUUUGCUGGGUCCCCCUUCUGGAGGACUUUCAAAACUUUCUGCUUCGGCGGGGUAUACCCGCCGGAACACCCUCAAAAAAUUCUUGAUCAAAAUGGUUCGGUCCGAGAAACUUUUUGUGAAAAUUAGCGAAAAACUUUCAACAACGGAUCUCAGAUC